rnacentral:rRNA from 1 species
CUGACGCUCAGAUGCGAAAGCGUGGGGAGCAAACAGGAUUAGAUACCCUGGUAGUCCACGCUUUAAACGAUGCACACUAGUUGUUGCUAUGCUAGACAUAGCAGUAAUGCAGUUAACACAUUAAGUGUGCCGCCUGGGGAGUACGGUCGCAAGAUUAAAACUCAAAGGAAUAGACGGGGACCCGCACAAGCGGUGGAGCAUGUGGUUUAAUUCGACGAUACGCGAAGAACCUUACCUGGCCUUGACAUAGACAGAAUUUAGUAGAGAUAUAAAAGUGCCAGUUUACUGGAGCUGUUAUACAGGUGCUGCACGGCUGUCGUCAGCUCGUGUCGUGAGAUGUUGGGUUAAGUCCCGCAACGAGCGCAACCCUCGUGUCUAGUUACUAACAGUUCGGCUGAGGACUCUAGACAGACUGCCUGGGUAACCAGGAGGAAGGUGAGGACGACGUCAAGUCAUCAUGGCCCUUACGGCCAGGGCUACACACGUGCUACAAUGGGGUAUACAGAGAGCCGCAAUACCGCGAGGUGGAGCAAAUCUUUAAAAUAUCUCCCAGUUCGGAUAGCAGUCUGCAACUCGACUGCUUGAAGUUGGAAUCGCUAGUAAUCGUGAAUCAGCAAUGUCACGGUGAAUACGUUCCCGGGUCUUGUACUCACCGCCCGUCACACCAUGGGAGUUGAAUUCAUUCGAAGCGGGGAUGCUAAAAUAGCUACCUUCCACAGUGGAUUUAGUAACUAGGGUGAAGUCGUAACAAGGUA